rnacentral:rRNA from 1 species
UACAGAGGGUGCAAACGUUGUUCGGAAUUACUGGGCGUAAAGCGCGUGUAGGCGGCUUUGCAAGUCGGAUGUGAAAUCCCGCGGCUCAACCGUGGAAGUGCACCCGAAACUGCAUCGCUAGAGUAUCGGAGAGGAAAGUGGAAUGCUUGGUGUAGAGGUGAAAUUCGUAGAUAUCAAGCGGAACACCGGUGGCGAAGGCGGCUUUCUGGACGAUUACUGACGCUGAGACGCGAAAGCGUGGGUAGCAAACAGG